GACAGAGGGGGCAAGCGUUGCUCGGAAUCACUGGGCGUAAAGGGCGCGUAGGCGGGAUGGCAAGUCGGUCGUGAAAUCCUUCGGCCCAACCGAAGAACGUCGGCCGAUACUGCCGUUCUUGAGGGAUGCAGAGGAGACUGGAAUUCCCGGUGUAGCGGUGAAAUGUGUAGAGAUCGGGAGGAACACCGGUGGCGAAGGCGGGUCUCUGGGCCGAUACUGACGCUGAGGAGCGAAAGCGUGGGGAGCAAACAGG
rnacentral:rRNA from 1 species